GCGAACGGGUGAGUAAUACAUCGGAACAUGUCCGGAAGUGGGGGAUAACGUAGCGAAAGUUACGCUAAUACCGCAUAUGCCCUGAGGGGGAAAGGAGGGGAUCGCAAGACCUUUCGCUUUCGGAGUGGCCGAUAUCGGAUUAGCUAGUAGGUGGGGUAAAGGCUCACCUAGGCGACGAUCCGUAGCUGGUCUGAGAGGACGACCAGCCACACUGGGACUGAGACACGGCCCAGACUCCUACGGGAGGCAGCAGUGGGGAAUUUUGGACAAUGGGCGCAAGCCUGAUCCAGCCAUGCCGCGUGAGUGAAGAAGGCCUUCGGGUUGUAAAGCUCUUUCGGACAGAAAGAAAUCCUAUCCGCUAAUACCGGGUGGGGAUGACGGUACUGUAAGAAGAAGCACCGGCUAACUACGUGCCAGCAGCCGCGGUAAUACGUAGGGUGCGAGCGUUAAUCGGAAUUACUGGGCGUAAAGCGUGCGCAGGCGGUUUUGUAAGACAGGUGUGAAAUCCCCGGGCUUAACCUGGGAACUGCACUUGUGACUGCAAGACUAGAGUGCGGUAGAGGGGGGUAGAAUUCCACGUGUAGCAGUGAAAUGCGUAGAGAUGUGUAGGAAUACCGGUGGCGAAGGCAGCCCUCUGGGUCGACACUGACGCUCAUGCACGAGAGCGUGGGGAGCGAACAGGAUUAGAUACCCUGUAGUCCACGCCCUAAACGAUGUCAGCUAGGUGUUGGGGAAGGAGACUUCUUUAGUACCGCAGCUAACGCGUGAAGUUGACCGCCUGGGGAGUACGGUCGCAAGAUUA
rnacentral:rRNA from 1 species